rnacentral:rRNA from 1 species
UUUAUGGAGAGUUUGAUCCUGGCUCAGGAUGAACGCUGGCGGCGUGCCUAAUACAUGCAAGUCGAGCGAACAGAUAAGGAGCUUGCUCCUUUGACGUUAGCGGCGGACGGGUGAGUAACACGUGGGUAACCUACCUAUAAGACUGGGAUAACUUCGGGAAACCGGAGCUAAUACCGGAUAAUAUUUCGAACCGCAUGGUUCGAUAGUGAAAGAUGGUUUUGCUAUCACUUAUAGAUGGACCCGCGCCGUAUUAGCUAGUUGGUAAGGUAACGGCUUACCAAGGCAACGAUACGUAGCCGACCUGAGAGGGUGAUCGGCCACACUGGAACUGAGACACGGUCCAGACUCCUACGGGAGGCAGCAGUAGGGAAUCUUCCGCAAUGGGCGAAAGCCUGACGGAGCAACGCCGCGUGAGUGAUGAAGGUCUUCGGAUCGUAAAACUCUGUUAUUAGGGAAGAACAUACGUGUAAGUAACUAUGCACGUCUUGACGGUACCUAAUCAGAAAGCCACGGCUAACUACGUGCCAGCAGCCGCGGUAAUACGUAGGUGGCAAGCGUUAUCCGGAAUUAUUGGGCGUAAAGCGCGCGUAGGCGGUUUUUUAAGUCUGAUGUGAAAGCCCACGGCUCAACCGUGGAGGGUCAUUGGAAACUGGAAAACUUGAGUGCAGAAGAGGAAAGUGGAAUUCCAUGUGUAGCGGUGAAAUGCGCAGAGAUAUGGAGGAACACCAGUGGCGAAGGCGACUUUCUGGUCUGUAACUGACGCUGAUGUGCGAAAGCGUGGGGAUCAAACAGGAUUAGAUACCCUGGUAGUCCACGCCGUAAACGAUGAGUGCUAAGUGUUAGGGGGUUUCCGCCCCUUAGUGCUGCAGCUAACGCAUUAAGCACUCCGCCUGGGGAGUACGACCGCAAGGUUGAAACUCAAAGGAAUUGACGGGGACCCGCACAAGCGGUGGAGCAUGUGGUUUAAUUCGAAGCAACGCGAAGAACCUUACCAAAUCUUGACAUCCUUUGACCGCUCUAGAGAUAGAGUUUUCCCCUUCGGGGGACAAAGUGACAGGUGGUGCAUGGUUGUCGUCAGCUCGUGUCGUGAGAUGUUGGGUUAAGUCCCGCAACGAGCGCAACCCUUAAACUUAGUUGCCAGCAUUUAGUUGGGCACUCUAAGUUGACUGCCGGUGACAAACCGGAGGAAGGUGGGGAUGACGUCAAAUCAUCAUGCCCCUUAUGAUUUGGGCUACACACGUGCUACAAUGGACAAUACAAAGGGCAGCGAAACCGCGAGGUCAAGCAAAUCCCAUAAAGUUGUUCUCAGUUCGGAUUGUAGUCUGCAACUCGACUACAUGAAGCUGGAAUCGCUAGUAAUCGUAGAUCAGCAUGCUACGGUGAAUACGUUCCCGGGUCUUGUACACACCGCCCGUCACACCACGAGAGUUUGUAACACCCGAAGCCGGUGGAGUAACCAUUUUGGAGCUAGCCGUCGAAGGUGGGACAAAUGAUUGGGGUGAAGUCGUAACAAGGUAGCCGUAUCGGAAGGUGCGGCUGGAUCACCUCCUUUCU